UACGUAGGGGGCGAGCGUUGUCCGGAGUUACUGGGCGUAAAGCGCACGCAGGCGGUCUGCUAAGUUUGGAGUGACAGUUGGUGGCUUAACUGCCAAAGUGCUUCGAAAACUGACAGACUUGAGGGCUUCAGAGGGACACGGAAUUCCGGGUGGAGUGGUGAAAUGCGUAGAGAUCCGGAGGAAACCCCAAGGCCAAGGGAGUUUCCUGGGGAGUACCCGACGCUCAGGUGCGAAAGCCAGGGGAGCAAACGGG
rnacentral:rRNA from 1 species